rnacentral:lncRNA from 1 species
CCAAGGUAUAGAUCUAUUGGACCAGAAGGUUGAAUUGCUCCAAAGUGAUGGCAGCAAGGGGUAGUUGUGCCCAAUCCAAGCUACAUAAGGAUGUGUUGGAAUGGGAAAAGGUAUUAGAUGCCCUCUUGCGUGAAGCAUUUGAUGCUCUUCUAUGCGACUUCAUAAUUAUAGACUCUCUAUGCGACUCCAUAAUUAUGGACUCUCCUUUCUAAGUUUAAAGAGUGGCCCUUCCUCU